CUACUCACUCUCCUGCUCCUCAGGUUCAGCCUUAAUCUGCUGUGUGAGGGAUGUAUGUCUACUCACUCUCCUGCUCCUCAGGUUCAGCCUUAAUCUGCUGUGUGAGGGAUGUGUGUCUACUCACUCUCCUGCUCCUCAGGUUCAGCCUUAAUCUGCUGUGUGAGGGAUGUGUGUCUACUCACUCUCCUGCUCCUCAGGUUCAGCCUUAAUCUGCUGUGUGAGGGAUGUGUGUCUACUCACUCUCCUGCUCCUCAGGUUCAGCCUUAAUCUGCUGUGUGAGGGAUGUGUGUCUACUCACUCUCCUGCUCCUCAGUUUCAGCCUUAAUCUGCUGUGUGAGGGAUGUGUGUCUACUCACUCUCCUGCUCCUCAGGUUCAGCCUUAAUCUGCUGUGUGAGGGAUGUGUGUCUACUCACUCUCCUGCUCCUCAGUUUCAGCCUUAAUCUGCUGUGUGAGGGAUGUGUGUCUACUCACUCUCCUGCUCCUCAGGUUCAGCCUUAAUCUGCUGUGUGAGGGAUGUGUGUCUACUCACUCUCCUGCUCCUCAGGUUCAGCCUUAAUCUGCUGUGUGAGGGAUGUGUGUCUACUCACUCUCCUGCUCCUCAGGUUCAGCCUUAAUCUGCUGUGUGAGGGAUGUGUGUCUACUCACUCUCCUGCUCCUCAGUUUCAGCCUUAAUCUGCUGUGUGAGGGAUGUGUGUCU